rnacentral:rRNA from 1 species
CCUACGGGUGGCAGCAGUGGGGAAUAUUGCGCAAUGGGCGAAAGCCUGACGCAGCGACGCCGCGUGAGGGAUGAAGGUCUUCGGAUCGUAAACCUCUGUCAGCAGGGAAGAACGGUCACUGUGCUAAUCAGCAGUGAAUUGACGGUACCUGCAAAGGAAGCACCGGCUAACUCCGUGCCAGCAGCCGCGGUAAUACGGAGGGUGCGAGCUUUAAUCGGAAUUACUGGGCGUAAAGCGCUCGUAGGCGGUAUGGCAAGUCAAGGGUGAAAUCCCCGCGCUCACCGUGGGAACUGCCUUUGAAACUGGCAAACUGGAGUGUGCGAGAGGAUAGUGGAAUUCCAGGUGUAGGAGUGAAAUGCGUAGAUAUCUGGAGGAACAUCAGUGGCGAAGGCGACUAUCUGGCACAUAACUGACGCUGAGGAGCGAAAGCGUGGGUAGCAAACAGGAUUAGAUACCCUUGUAGUC